CAUAACUCAACUUUUUCGGCUCUAUUUUGCACGAAGGCCAUUAGAAAGUCACAUGGUCUUGUGCAUAUAUGUUUUUUUAAGGAAUCAAAGCGCCUUUAAGUUUGGCAACUCAAGUUUAACUCCCACUCGUUACGAUAGCCCGAAUACGUGAUGCGGAGUAUUGUUUUCUUUUCUCGUCGUGACGCGCUGCAUAUUAACUAUCGUCAGUGAUGGGACUGAUAACAUGUCGUUGUCGAUAUCAAAUCUUAACUUGAUUUCCAAUUAAUAUAACUGUCGUGAAUGCAUCAAAUUGGUAUAUGAGGGAUGGAGACCAAAGGGAUAACUGCUAGAGAUUGAUUUGCGUACAGCACGCCCAAGAGACGAGUUAGAAAACAGAUUUCAAAUCCUUGAAGAUGGCUUAUGCGCAACAGACAUGACUGAAAGGGUAACGUGGGAGUUCUUUAAAAAACAAGUCUUCAAAUGUCGUUCGACAAGUACCGUAUCCUCGGGCUCGGCCGUAUCGAUGUUUGGUCGUGUUGCUUCGUUGUCAGUUGCUCAGCCAAGCUAACAGAAUAUUCCCACUAUCGAGGGAAUCAACAAUGACCGAUCUGAAUAUACAAAAUCAGAGAAAUUUACAUUCGCGAACUAUUCAGUCACAUCCGAGUAAAUAACAGGCUCACAUGCAGCAAUUAUGAAAUAAUGUUGGGAUUGACGGAGAAAAUAUCUUAUGAGCAGUCUACACACGCUGCAACUACGUACGACAAAUGAUACAAAGAAUAGGGUUUGGUGUCGACGUAAACACCGGCAGGCUUAACAGCAGAAAUCGAAGCAAAAGAUGGUAUCUGAAGGAAGAAUUAUAUCUACUUUGUCUUCGGAACACCCAAAGGUAAGGCCACUUUUGCAUGCAUACAUAAAAAUAUAAUUGCUUUGUAUGUACUUAUUACUACUGAGAUACGAGAAAACGUGUAAUUUAUACCUAUACCAGCUUAAGUUGCAAAAUGCACUCUGUGACAUCUCAUAUUGAACGGGAAUGCAUAGCCAACCGCAUAAAGAUAUUGAAAUGUUAUGCAAUGAGUCCCUCGCGCGGUUAUAUUGGCAACGAUUGCUGGAUUUAUGGAAGUAAUUUAAUUGUUAAAUUCCAAGAAAAAAUUAAGUCGCUGCAUAGUGAAAUAUGUACAAUAAAGUAUGUAGCUAGAACGCCACUACAAGUACAGUAUAGUCGAAACCAGAACAUGUUUGUAUACAAAGUUAUCGGAUUUUUCGAAGUAAAAUUGUCAUGUGCAUCUUAUAUCUUCAAUUAUUAAUGCUCCGUAAAUUGAUCUCUCCUGCUCUAAUUGAUUGUUAAUCUAACCAUCUCGUGUUAUGUCUGGUGGGUGUCACAUCGACCCUCAGCGUGCAGUAAUUAAUUGCUUUCAUAGAAGGACUAUAAGGGUGAUGAACAGCUUUCGAGCAAUUAAACAGAAAGGCUUAUGUAGCUAUGAGGACAAUUUAGUUUGGUUCCCACGCGAGCAUAAC